rnacentral:rRNA from 1 species
AGCAGUAGCCGCGGGAAGACGUAGGGAGCAAGCGUUGUCCGGAAUUACUGGGCGUAAAGAGCUCGUAGGCGGGAGCGUAAGUCUGAAAUGAAAUUCCAAGGCUCAACUUUGGGGCUAUUUCAGAUACUGCGUUUCUUGAGUAUAUCAGAGGAUAGUAGAAUUCCCGGUGUAGCGGUGAAAUGCGUAGAUAUCGGGAGGAAUACCAGUGGCGAAGGCGACUGUCUGGGAUAUUACUGACGCUGAGGAGCGAAAGCGUGGGGAGCAAACGGGAUUAGAUACCCGAGUAGUCCCUGUCUCUUAUAA